rnacentral:lncRNA from 1 species
CAGCCAGCUUUGGUUGCAUGUUGUCCGGUCUAUGACCAGCAGUCAUUUGGUUAGACACCGUUUGACUAUUUUGACCACCAGUAUCCUGCCUUUGCUUCUGCUGCUGAGACUGAGGUACCACCGUGGGCUCAGCAGAAAAUCCACCACUGUUGUUAUUAGUACCACUAUUAACGAAACCAGGUGUAGGAAUCAUCUGGGGAGCACUUCUUUGAGAACCCAUGUUCCCUCUUGAACCAAGAGAAAAGUUUCUCGGUGAAUUCUGGUAACCAUUAGACAUAUUACCUGAAAUGAAAUUGCUAAGGUGUCAGAGACUCGGCGUGAGAUUAAAAUUUCCAGGAAAAGUAUCUAUGAUCAAACCUCCAUGGAUGCCACCAGAAGCUAGAAGGUUUCCAGUGUUGACAGCUUUGCUUGUACUGCUGUUGUUUCCAGCUAUAGUAGUAUCAGCAGAGGGUGUAACCAUCGAAGUAGAAUUAUCCCCAGUAUGUGGUAAUCUUGGAGUAGGUAUCAUCGUAGUACCCCCACCAGCAUGUGAUAAUCCUGGAGUAGGUAUCAUCAUUCCAACAGAAGGAGAAUUAGAAUGUCGCUGAUUGUAGUUAUUCAAAUGUCUGCCUUUUAUUAGGCUCGUAAUCCUAGACUCAAGGGUUGACCGGUUCACGUAAUCCUCCUGUUAGUAUAAGUCGAAAAGAAAAAUCUUAAGGAAUGACAUGAGUCAACAAGCUGGAUGUAGAGGCAGAAAUAUUUUGAGAUACCUUUGAGACGGCCAUCUUAAACAGCCCCUCCUCUAAGCGUCUAGCAACAUCCAUAUACUUUGCCUUUGAUGCAGCAUCGGCCUGUGAUGGUUGCCGCUGCUGUAACAUGUUAAACCUGUACAAAUCAAUAGAAAAGUUAUUAUUCAUCAGCGAGCACAUACUUGUGGAGAGAAAAUAAAAGGAUAAAUCUAUGAAUAAAAAUUGCUUUUCUGUAAAUUUUUGAAGUCAAUAAAAUCGCACACCUGGCCAACCCACUGACGAAGACUAAGAAUAUGUUCUCUCACUUGGUCGGGAGUGAACAUUUCAGUUAAAGAAACACCCUUUAUCUUUGGUUUUCCAGGUUUUGAUGCAACAACGUCAGCAGACUCCACCACAACUUCUUCCUUCGGCUCUUUCUCCAUUUUAACGUUUUCUUGCUUUAGCGAGGCACCAGAUAAAUCAUGUUGACCUGGUUCACUGACAGGCCUAGGUUUGGGAACAUUUUCAACAGCUUCAUGUUUUAUCUCCUUGAUGCUGAAUCCUGCUUGAACAGAAACAUCAGGAAUCUCUUCUUUCACUUCCAACUUCUCUGACUUCAAUGCCGCAUGUGCGUCGCUCUGCAUAUGAUCCUUUCUUUCAGCAUUCUGAGAUGGUUCUGUCUCUGCUUUGGGAACAAUGGAGCUUUUACAAACUUCACUCUCACGGACCACUGGUUCAAAAGAAGGCUCCACCUUCAACCGUUUUGAUGAAGGUUCCAAAUUAUCUACAGUAUCAGUACAUCCAGGGGCACCAGAAACGGCUCCAUCAGUAGCGCAUGGUGAAUCAUUUGAUACUACAGCUCCGUUCACUACACUGCUUUCGCUUUUUAAACGGGCCUGGACACGCGCAUUAGCUUGCUGCUGAUGGUAGGUCUUAACUGGUACACAGACGGGGCACCGAGGAUCCUUGCAGUUUUUAUAGUGGCCAAUCAACGACUUCGUGGGGCGACAACGAGGAUACAAACACUGAGGCUCUACACAGCUGUUCAUGUGACUCAGUAGCUUCUGAACAGUAACGCAGUUUCGUCCCGGGCACUUCACUCCUGGCCGUUUGCAGGUCCGUGCAUGAAGCAGAAACAAGAGCCAUCUCUGUUGAUUUUGGAACUUGACAUCGCGAUUUCCAUAUCUACAUGCCGUUCCAGUUGCAUUUUGCAGACUGUGGGAUUCGGAUGCGGUGGAAGUAUGAAUUUGACCAAUAACAGACCCUUCCAUCAAAUUAUUAGGUUGAGCUUCAUCCGUACCGGUAACUCUUUCACGAAAAUCCUCCUGAACGUUCUGUUCACUCGACAUACCAUUAGACAUUUGAGUGUUUCCCUGAGACUGGGAAGGCCACUGAUCCUGUGGAUUGGAUUCUAAUUUUACUCCAACAGCAAGGUUGCUAAAACUGUGGACUGUAUCAGAGCCCGGGUGCAUCAUUUGCUGAACCUGUUGGCUAUUUUGAGGAAGGAGCGUGCAUAUAUCACUCUGACUUGUAACUGCUACAUGUUGAGCGUUUGCAGAGCGGUCUGCUCCUGGGUUCUGAUAUUGAUUCUGGAACUGAGAAAGCUGGAGUCGUUCAGAUGCUUGGGAGUGCAAAGGUUCACUAUGGCUCUGCACUCCAGGUUCAUGUUGAACAUUCGUAACAACGUCAGAAGCCACCUGAGGUUUCCCGGAACCAUCUUUGCUUAUUAACUUAUGUUGCUGCAGGGCCUGCUGCUUCAAUGUUUUUUGCUGGAUAAAUUUCUGCUGCUGCUGCUGCUGUUGUUGAAUCUGAUUAGGCUGUUGCGGAAAUUGUUGUUGUUGAUGUGAAUGCAGAGAAGAGUUAGCUCUGGACACAGACUGGAAACUUGCUGCAUUGAUAUUCUGAGCACUUGGCAUCUUCCCUACCGAUGUUACAGCUCCAUGCAAAUUUUUAGAUCCAAGGUUGUUGUCAGGAUUUGUUGUUCUAUAACCUUCCCCUGAAAUAUGAAGAAACAUACUUUAAAAUAUUCUGAUAGGUUAGUACUAGUGCCAAAGCACAAGAAAGGACCAUACAUAUAAAAUGAGAUGAUUAGGACAGACGAAAAAGCGAGAGCCUGAAGAGUUUACCUGCGUCUACACUUUUUUUGCUCACACCAACACCACCAUUUACAGAGUUACUAGCCACACCAGCCAGCUUUGGUUGCAUGUUGUCCGGUCUAUGACCAGCAGUCAUUUGGUUAGACACCGUUUGACUAUUUUGACCACCAGUAUCCUGCCUUUGCUUCUGCUGCUGAGACUGAGGUACCACCGUGGGCUCAGCAGAAAAUCCACCACUGUUGUUAUUAGUACCACUAUUAACGAAACCAGGUGUAGGAAUCAUCUGGGGAGCACUUCUUUGAGAACCCAUGUUCCCUCUUGAACCAAGAGAAAAGUUUCUCGGUGAAUUCUGGUAACCAUUAGACAUAUUACC